GGCUUCUUCCAGCUCAGUUGGUAGAGCAUGAGACUCUCGAUCUCGGGGUUGUGGGUUUGAGCCCCACGUUGGGCCA